rnacentral:rRNA from 1 species
GACGAACGCUGGCGGCAAGCUUAACACAUGCAAGUCGGACGCCGUAGCAAUACGGAGUGGCAGACGGGUGAGUAACACGUGGGAACGUGCCUUUCGGUUCGGAACAACUGAGGGAAACUUCAGCUAAAACCGGAUACGCCCUUCGGGGGAAAGUUUACGCCGAAAGAUCGGCCCGCGUCAGAUUAGGUAGUUGGCGGGGUAAUGGCCCACCAAGCCGAUGAUCUGUAGCUGUUCUGAGAGGAAGAUCAGCCACACUGGGACUGCGACACGGCCCAGACUCCUACGGGAGGCAGCAGUGGGGAAUAUUGGACAAUGGGCGCAAGCCUGAUCCAGCUAUGCCGCGUGGAUGAAGAAGGCCUUCGGGUUGUAAAGUCCUUUCGGCGGGGAAGAUAAUGACGGUACCCGCAGAAGAAGCCCCGGCUAAUUUCGUGCCAGCAGCCGCCGUAAUAC